rnacentral:rRNA from 1 species
UACGUAGGGGGCAAGCGUUGUCCGGAAUCAUUGGGCGUAAAGCGCGCGUAGGCGGCCCGGUAAGUCCGUUGUAAAAGUCGAAGGCUCAACCUUCGAAAGCCGAUGGAUACUGCCGGGCUAGAGUCCGGAAGAGGCGAGUGGAAUUCCUGGUGUAGCGGUGGAAUGCGCAGAUAUCAGGAGGAACACCCAUAGCGAAGGCAGCCCGCUGGGCCGAUACUGACACUGAGGAGCGAAAGCGUGGGGAGCGAACAGG